rnacentral:misc_RNA from 1 species
AGCAGCCGCGGUAAUUCCAGCUCCAAUAGCGUAUAUUAAAGUUGUUGCAGUUAAAAGCUCGUAGUUGAAUUUCGGGGUUAGUAGGUUGGUCAUGCCUCUGGUAUGUACUGGUCUCACUGAUUCCUCCUUCUUGAUGAGCCGUAGUGCCAUUAAUUUGGUGUUGCGGGGAAUUUGGACUGUUACUUUGAAAAAUUAGAGUGUUUAAAGCAAGCUAACGCUUGAAUACAUUAGCAUGGAAUAAUGAAAUAGGACGUUCGAUCCUAUUUUGUUGGUUUCUAGGAUUGACGUAAUGAUUAAUAGGGAUAGUUGGGGGCAUUAGUAUUCAAUUGUCAGAGGUGAAAUUCUUGGAUUUAUUGAAGACUAACUACUGCGAAAGCAUUUGCCAAGGAUGUUUUCAUUAAUCAAGAACGAAAGUUAGGGAUCGAAGACGAUCAGAUACCGUCGUAGUCUUAACCAUAAACUAUGCCGACUAGGGAUCGGAUGAUGUUAAUUUUUAAUGUAUUCUAUUCCCCGG